rnacentral:misc_RNA from 1 species
GUGAAGAACGUAGCGAAAUGCGAUAAGUAAUGUGAAUUGCAGAAUUCAGUGAAUCAUCGAAUCUUUGAACGCACAUUGCGCCCGCCAGCACUCUGGCGGGCAUGCCUGUUCGAGCGUCAUUUCAACCAUCAAGCCCCCAGGGGCUUGUGCUGGGGCCCUGCGGCUGCCCGCAGGCCCUGAAAACCAGUGGCGGGCUCGCUAGUCACACCGAGCGCAGUAGCACAUCUCGCUCAGGGCGUGCGGCGGGCUCCUGCCGUGAAACCCCCCACUGUAACCCCAAAGGUUGACCUCGGAUCAGGUAGGAAUACCCGCUGAACUUAAGCAUAUCAAUAAGCGGAGGA